rnacentral:lncRNA from 10 species
UGAAAGGGUGUCAGAGGGAAAACAAACAAGUAGCUGGCAUGGGGGGAAAGAAACAAGAAAGCAGCAAGCCAUCCAUCCCUGCAGGGAGCAGGGCAUGCUUCCCUUCUUCUCCCACCUUCUUCUUUCCUGUCCUUCUUUCAUGAAAUGGGAGUGGGAGGGUGUGAUCUUUAGAAAAACUGAGCAAAGGAAGAAAGACUUAAGGAUCAUGACACACAGGAAGUUAUGCCAUUAGUAGAAGUCAAUAUGCAGUUGUGGGGUGAAGCAAAGUAGAAGCAAAGUGACAGUUGAUUGGCUGAUCUUGUAUGUAUUUCAUCCUGAAGAAUUUGAAAGUCUAAAGGACUAUAUAAGCUAAAUGAUCUGGGAGCUGCUUUCCUAGGAUGGAAUCUGAGACCUAAGUGGAGGUAUUAGGAUUAAGGUUAAAAAAAAAAAAAAAAAAAGCAAACCAAACUACACUAAGAAUUCAAAUAGUGAAAACUAAAAAUAAUAAUAAUAAUAAUAAUAAUGUCCAAAAGGUAAUCUGGGCAAAGUGCAGUGGCUCAUGCCUGUAAUCCCAGAAUAUUGGGAGGCCGACAUGGGUGGAUGGCUUGAGCCCAGGAGUUCAAGACCAAGUUGGCCAACAUGGCGAAACCCUGUCUCUACUAAAAAUUAAAAAAAUUAGCCAGGCAUGGUGGUGCAUGUCUGUAAGUAAUCCCA